AAAAAUUCGCAAUUGUCGAAUUCGAUCGGUUAAUCGAAUAAUUGCUAUUCGACUAUCAACCGACAAAAAAGUUGCUAAACGACUAGUCGACUAACCGAAUA